GGGUCCGGUUCAGACCCUACCCAAACCUCUCCAGACCGUCGCGGCCGCGCAGGUGGUGCGUACGGACCGAGUCGCACGAGGUGGGUUUGGGGUGUAUAUAGGGCGUAGAGGCCUACUUGGGAUCUGGUUUUAGUUGUGUGAGAUGAGGUGUGAGAGAGGCAAAGGAGGAGAGGGGCAGGGUAUACGAUGGCUAGAUACCGCUCGCUGCCGUCGUCGUGGUGUGGUGUACGCCGAGGCUGCUGACCCGCUCGCUACCAUCGUCGUGGUGUACGCCGUAGCCGCCGAGCGUAAAUGUUCUUCCCCCGAUGGCUGCUCCAGUCCGGCAGGCCACCCCUAUAGUAAAUGCACACGUUAUAGCUGACGUCGAGGUCCAAGCCGCUACCGUUGCUGCUGUAGUAGCUAACUCUCUUAGAGCGCUUGUUUUCGCUAAUUCAAAUAUAAUAAAAAUAAAACAAGCUUAUCAAAUUAAAUUUAAGUAUAAUACGCUACAUCAAACUUAACUUAACACAAUAGAUAAAAAUUUAAACACAACACGUUACAUCAACUCUGUUUAACACGAUAGAUCCAAACUUAAAUGUACUUUUUUCAAUAUCCCUCAAUUUAAAUUCACAAGUCGAUCCUUUGUGUACAAAAUUGAGGACUUUAUGUUCCCCAAUUUCAAACCCCUCCGUAUGUUCCCCGAUUUAAUAUUACGUAGCCGAUCUCUAAGGGAAUCGGAUAACGUAGCACUCUUGAAGAAGCCAAAGGGCAGAUAGCAAUCUUGAAACAGGUGUUAAUAAAAAUAAUCGAAUUACUCACAUUAGAAGACUUUAAUCAGGAACGGUACGACGAAAAACCAAUCAUAUCCAUGAGUCCAUCAUAAGUUUUAAAUCUUAAGUCUACUGGACUAGCAACCUAUGUAGGCAAAAUCAAAUAAUCCAAGUGUACCGUGGUUAAUUUGUACAGUUUCGAUACGUUACUUCACUAAAACUCUAACGAAUUAUAUACCUGGAUUUCGGUCAUCUUAUUUACUUAUCUGCCACACGUAACUAAAUACGUCUCCGGUCGCCGAAUUAGAGGAAGCUGCCUCAUACACCGAAAAAGUCCAAGUCCGAGACUACACUUUCAUCGUAAUAGGAGUUUUUUUUUUCAUCCGUUCUCUAUGAAAACUCAAAACUCUUUUUUCGAUAUCCCUUUGACCACAAAACCCUUAUACUCUUCAGACGUACGUCACAACGGAGAAACUGAUCUCAGCAUAAUAACCCUUUAUUAGAGAGACAAAAGAACCAUUUAGUACCAUUAAUUCUUCCAACUGAUACUGUAGUUAGAUCCCUUCUGACACACGAACUCUACGUCAAAAUGAGUGUAAAUACAGAACCCUUAUACUCUUCUGACGUACGUCACGUGCGAACUACGUCGAGGGAAUUAUUUACUGACUGAAAACCGUACGAACGCGGGAAGGAAGAAGUAUUCAUUUCGGGCCUGAUCGUAAGGGACCUAUGUAAGACGAUGUCUCGUAGUCGGAAGUCGUGGUGACUCUUAUCUUUGUCUAGACAUGAGGUCGAAGCCCUGGGAACACCGUCUCGUCUAUACCGUGUGUGCCUAUGUAGAAGAAACCCUGGACUUCUCUUAUCUCUGUUAAGACUCCGUCGAAGACUCUGGGGGAAGUAUGACGGUUUCUCUGGGAGAGAUUGCGGUCGUGUCCUCGUCUUUAACGACCUCUUUCAUCUUCGGUAACUGAGGUGUCAAGGUGAAAUGCCGCACUAGGACUUGCCCAGGUUACGAACAGCGCCGAAUGAUUGUAAACCGUGCUUCAUGCGCAGUUACAUAGAGUUGUUCUUAAGGCGACGGCCUUUCUUCUCGCGCUAGUCAAACCACGAAGUCGACCUCCCCCUCUCGUCCUGCACCCUGUGCCUCGACGUCGCGUUCUGACUAGCGUGCCGCUAACAAUUUCCUACUCGCAGAAAGCGGCCACCGUUGGCGGACGCCCUCCCACUGUAGACGUAGAAGUUCGACUACCUCUCGCUCCUCGGCGACUUCUACUGCCAGAUGUAGUAAGCACCACUCCUCACAUGAACUCCGUUCUUACCCGAGAACGAUGAGACUAAUAGUUCUUAGAACCUUGCCUUUUGUUACACCGGAGAGGUUUACCCCAGCCUCCCCUUCCUUGAACAAACAAGUAGAUGGCAGCAUCAUCAAUACAAGAGAGAAACAAUAGAUCUGAGAUCUCAGAUCUCAUUCAAACGUACCAGUUCAAACUUGUUGAGUAAUACAAAACGACUAUCAAGACAUUCGCGAAAUAACAGAGCCCAUUGAGACCUUAGACCUACCAGCUCUAUUAAACUUGAAUGAUAUAUAACG
rnacentral:rRNA from 1 species